rnacentral:rRNA from 1 species
CCCUUAGAUGUCCUGGGCCGCACGCGCGCUACACUGACGCACCCAACGGGUUUACGACCUUGCCUGGAAAGGUUGGGUAAUCCUACAAAAAUGCGUCGUGGUGGGGACAGAUUACUGCAAUAACUAAUCUUCAACGAGGAAUUCCUAGUAAGCGCGAGUCAUCAGCUCGUGCUGAUUACCUCCCUGCCCUUUGUACACACCGCCCGUCGCUCCUACCGAUUAAGUGAUCCGGUGAAUAGUUCGGACUGCUGCAAUGCUUGGAUCCCGAGAAUUGCGGCGAAAGUUUAGUGAACCUUAUCACUUAGAGGAAGGAGAAGUCGUAACA